UGGUGGGUUGCCUUGUCAGGUUGAUUCCGGUAACGAACGAGAUCUCAGCUUGCUAAAUAGUCAGCAUCGCACCUGCGGUGCGCCGACUUCUUAGAGGGACUAUUGGCGUUUAGCCAAUGGAAGUAUGAGGCGAUAACA
rnacentral:rRNA from 1 species